rnacentral:rRNA from 2 species
AACUCUCAACAACGGAUAUCUUGG